GCCGGCAUGGUGGAAUGGUAGACACGGUAGACUCAAAAUCUACUGCCCGCGAGGGUGUAAGAGUUCAAGUCUCUUUGCCGGUAC
rnacentral:tRNA from 1 species